AUCUAUGGCCAUGCUACCCUGAACAAGCCUGACCCCAUUUGAUCUUGGAAGCUAAGCAGGGUCAGGCUUUGAUUAGUAUUUGAACGGGAAACCACCUAAGAAGCCCGGGUGCCACAGGUA
rnacentral:rRNA from 1 species